AAAGGUUUGGUCCUGACUUUACUAUUAGCUUCAACCUAAUUUAUACAUGCAAGUAUCCGCAGCCCUGUGAGAAUGCCCUCAAUCCCCCACCCGGGGAUGAGGAGCGGGCAUCAGGCACACUUAAAUUUAGCCCAAGACGCCUUGCUACGCCACACCCCCAAGGGACUUCAGCAGUAACAAACAUUAAGCCAUAAGUGAAAACUUGACUUAGUUAAGGUUAUAAGGGUCGGUAAAAAUCGUGCCAGCCACCGCGGUUAUACGAAAGACUCUAGUUAAUAGCUACGGCACAAAGGGUGGUUAAGGAAAAUAACUAAUAAAGCUAAAGACCUUCUAGGCCGUUAUACGCAUUACGAAGCCACGAAACCCAACCACGAAAGUAGCUUUAAACCCCUCCUGACUCCACGAAAGCUAAGAAACAAACUGGGAUUAGAUACCCCACUAUGCUUAGCCAUAAACUUAGAUGUACCACAUACAUCCGCCAGGGUACUACGAGCACAGCUUAAAACCCAAAGGACUUGGCGGUGUCUCAGACCCCCCUAGAGGAGCCUGUUCUAGAACCGAUAACCCCCGUUAAACCUCACCACUUCUUGUUUUCCCCGUCUAUAUACCGCCGUCGUCAGCUUACCCUGUGAAGGCCCAACAGUAAGCAAAAUGGCACAGCCAAAAACGUCAGGUCGAGGUGUAGCCUACGAAGUGGAAAGAAAUGGGCUACAUUUUCUAAAUACAGAAUACUACGAACAGCACCCUGAAAAUAGGUGCUAGAAGGUGGAUUUAGUAGUAAAAAGCAAAUAGAGAGUCCUUUUGAAUUAGGCUCUGAGACGCGCACACACCGCCCGUCACUCUCCCCUCAUUUAAUCAUAAACUCAAUACAUAAUAACCUAAUCUUAAAUACCUAGGGGAGGCAAGUCGUAACAUGGUAAGUGUACCGGAAGGUGCACUUGGAAUAA
rnacentral:ncRNA from 1 species